UACGUAGGGUCCGAGCGUUGUCCGGAAUUAUUGGGCGUAAAGGGCUCGUAGGCGGUUCGUCACGUCGGGAGUGAAAACUCGGGGCUUAACCCCGAGCCUGCUUCCGAUACGGGCAGACUAGAGGUAGGCAGGGGAGAGCGGAACUCCUGGUGUAGCGGUGAAAUGCGUAGAUAUCUGGAGGAACACCGGUGGCGAAGGCGGCAUCCUGGACCGGCAUUGACGCUGAGGCGCGAAAGCCAGGGGAGCAAACGGG
rnacentral:rRNA from 1 species